CUCCUCGGCCCCUUUCACGACCCAGCGCUCUCCCUCCAUGAGAGCAAGGGAUCAAUGACUUUCACGGAAGUCCCACCUCUGCGGUACCAUGGCGCUGCCAUGCCCAUGGCCCUACUAUCCGUCGCCUCGCAUCUGCAUCCCUUUUCUUCACGAUCAGUAGAUAUGUCUCCGUGGCACUCCUCUAAGUCCACCUCCAUUCUAACUGAUGCUUGAUUUUGGGUAGCUAAGUCCCUCUGGACUCGUCGUCGCUUCCUCGCCCCUUUCGACCCCCUGCUUCAACACCUCUGUGUUCUCCAAGCAGUUUGUUUGGUCGAUGGAAAGAUAGACUGCAACUCCCAUGCAUGGCCUCUGCCAUCAUGUUGUAGGGUUUGCACCGAUUCUGUUCUCCUUAGCUUCCUUGGUAGCAACGUUCGCUUACUCGACCUUGUCC
rnacentral:lncRNA from 1 species